UACGGAGGGGGCUAGCGUUGUUCGGAAUUACUGGGCGUAAAGCGCGCGUAGGCGGAUUGCUAAGUCAGGGGUGAAAUCCUGGAGCUCAACUCCAGAACUGCCUUUGAUACUGGCGACCUUGAGUCCGGGAGAGGUGAGUGGAACUGCGAGUGUAGAGGUGAAAUUCGUAGAUAUUCGCAAGAACACCAGUGGCGAAGGCGGCUCACUGGCCCGGUACUGACGCUGAGGUGCGAAAGCGUGGGGAGCAAACAGG
rnacentral:rRNA from 1 species